CCUACGGGUGGCAGCAGUAGGGGAUAUUGCUCAAUGGGGGAAACCCUGAUGCAGCAACGCCGCGUGGAGGAUGAAGCUUUUCGGAGCGUAAACUCCUGUUGUUAGAGAAGAUAAUGACGGUAUCUGACGAAUAAGCCCCGGCUAACUCCGUGCCAGCAGCCGCGGUAAUACGGAGGGUGCAAGCGUUACUCGGAAUCACUGGGCGUAAAGAGCGCGUAGGCGGGGUAGCAAGUCAGAUGUGAAAUCCUAUGGCUUAACCAUAGAACUGCAUUUGAAACUGUGUGUCUAGAGUAUGGGAGAGGUAGGUGGAAUUCUUGGUGUAGCGGUAAAAUCCGUAGAGAUCAAGAGGAAUACUCAUUGCGAAGGCGACCUGCUAGAACAUAACUGACGCUGAUGCGCGAAAGCGUGGGGAGCAAACAGGAUUAGAUACCCCAGUAGUC
rnacentral:rRNA from 1 species